AGAAAAAUAGAGAAAGGUAAGGGAAAUAAAAGGAUAAGAAAUAUAAAAUGAAAUAGAACUUAGAGAGAAAAGAAUAAAGAGAAUUAGAGGAAGAACUAACUGAAAUCUUGAUAUUUCUUGGAUGGUCUUUUGUUAUAGCCUCUUCAAUUAUUUAUACAACCUCUCUUGCCUAAUUAAUUGUUCCCACCAACUAUAACAGCUGAUAUGGUGAUUAUUGAAUGGACUA
rnacentral:misc_RNA from 1 species